UACGGGAGGCAGCAGUGGGGAAUAUUGCACAAUGGGCGCAAGCCUGAUGCAGCCAUGCCGCGUGUAUGAAAAAGGCCUUCGGGUUGUAAAGUACUUUCAGUCGUGAGGAAGGUGUUAAGGUUAAUAACCUUAGCAAUUGACGUUAGCGACAGAAGAAGCACCGGCUAACUCCGUGCCAGCAGCCGCGGUAAUACGGAGGGUGCGAGCGUUAAUCGGAAUUACUGGGCGUAAAGGGCACGCAGGCGGUUAAUUAAGUUGGAUGUGAAAUCCCCGGGCUUAACCUGGGAAUGGCAUUCAAGACUGGUUAGCUAGAGUCUUGUAGAGGGGGUAGAAUUCCAUGUGUAGCGGUGAAUGCGUAGAGAUGUGGAGGAAUACCGGUGGCGAAGGCGGCCCCUGGACAAAGACUGACGCUCAUGUGCGAAAGCGUGGGGAGCAAACAGGGAUUAGAUACC
rnacentral:rRNA from 1 species